AGAGUUUGAUCCUGGCUCAGAGUGAACGCUGGCGGCGUGCCUAAUACAUGCAAGUCGAACGAUGAAGCUUCUAGCUUGCUAGAGUGCUGAUUAGUGGCGCACGGGUGAGUAACGCAUAGGUCAUGUGCCUCUUAGUUUGGGAUAGCCAUUGGAAACGAUGAUUAAUACCAGAUACUCCCUACGGGGGAAAGAUUUAUCGCUAAGAGAUCAGCCUAUGUCCUAUCAGCUUGUUGGUAAGGUAAUGGCUUACCAAGGCUAUGACGGGUAUCCGGCCUGAGAGGGUGAACGGACACACUGGAACUGAGACACGGUCCAGACUCCUACGGGAGGCAGCAGUAGGGAAUAUUGCUCAAUGGGGGAAACCCUGAAGCAGCAACGCCGCGUGGAGGAUGAAGGUUUUAGGAUUGUAAACUCCUUUUGUUAGAGAAGAUAAUGACGGUAUCUAACGAAUAAGCACCGGCUAACUCCGUGCCAGCAGCCGCGGUAAUACGGAGGGUGCAAGCGUUACUCGGAAUCACUGGGCGUAAAGAGCGCGUAGGCGGGAUAGUCAGUCAGGUGUGAAAUCCUAUGGCUUAACCAUAGAACUGCAUUUGAAACUACUAUUCUAGAGUGUGGGAGAGGUAGGUGGAAUUCUUGGUGUAGGGGUAAAAUCCGUAGAGAUCAAGAGGAAUACUCAUUGCGAAGGCGACCUGCUGGAACAUUACUGACGCUGAUUGCGCGAAAGCGUGGGGAGCAAACAGGAUUAGAUACCCUGGUAGUCCACGCCCUAAACGAUGGAUGCUAGUUGUUGGAGGGCUUAGUCUCUCCAGUAAUGCAGCUAACGCAUUAAGCAUCCCGCCUGGGGAGUACGGUCGCAAGAUUAAAACUCAAAGGAAUAGACGGGGACCCGCACAAGCGGUGGAGCAUGUGGUUUAAUUCGAAGAUACACGAAGAACCUUACCUAGGCUUGACAUUGAGAGAAUCCGCUAGAAAUAGUGGAGUGUCUGGCUUGCCAGACCUUGAAAACAGGUGCUGCACGGCUGUCGUCAGCUCGUGUCGUGAGAUGUUGGGUUAAGUCCCGCAACGAGCGCAACCCCCUUUCUUAGUUGCUAACAGGUCAUGCUGAGAACUCUAAGGAUACUGCCUCCGUAAGGAGGAGGAAGGUGGGGACGACGUCAAGUCAUCAUGGCCCUUACGCCUAGGGCUACACACGUGCUACAAUGGGGUGCACAAAGAGAAGCAAUACUGCGAAGUGGAGCCAAUCUUCAAAACACCUCUCAGUUCGGAUUGUAGGCUGCAACUCGCCUGCAUGAAGCUGGAAUCGCUAGUAAUCGCAAAUCAGCCAUGUUGCGGUGAAUACGUUCCCGGGUCUUGUACUCACCGCCCGUCACACCAUGGGAGUUGUGUUUGCCUUAAGUCAGGAUGCUAAAUUGGCUACUGCCCACGGCACACACAGCGACUGGGGUGAAGUCGUAACAAGGUAACCGUAGGUGAACCUGCGGUUG
rnacentral:rRNA from 1 species